UCAUCAGCAAAAUCUGAUGCCGGGAUUGCGUCCCGAACUUCACUUAUGACGCACAGCCGCGUUUAGCGGUUUUUUG
rnacentral:sRNA from 1 species